rnacentral:rRNA from 1 species
AUUGAACGCUGGCGGCAGGCUUAACACAUGCAAGUCGAGCGGGGGAGGUUGCUUCGGUAACUGACCUAGCGGCGGACGGGUGAGUAAUGCUUAGGAAUCUGCCUAUUAGUGGGGGACAACAUUCCGAAAGGAAUGCUAAUACCGCAUACGCCCUACGGGGGAAAGCAGGGGAUCUUCGGACCUUGCGCUACUAGAUGAGCCUAAGUCGGAUUAGCUAGUUGGUGGGGUAAAGGCAUACCAAGGGGACGAUCUGUAGCGGGUCGGAGAGGAUGGUCCGCCACACUGGGACUGAGACACGGCCCAGACUCCUACGGGAGGCAGCAGUGGGGAAUAUUGGACAAUGGGCGGAAGCCUGAUCCAGCCAUGCCGCGUGUGUGAAGAAGGCCUUUUGGUUGUAAAGCACUUUAAGCGAGGAGGAGGCUCUUAAGGUUAAUACCCUUGAUGAGUGGACGUUACUCGCAGAAUAAGCACCGGCUAACUCUGUGCCAGCCGCCGCCGUAACAC